AGUGAACGCUGGCGGUAGGCCUAACACAUGCAAGUCGAACGGCAGCACAGUAAGAGCUUGCUCUUACGGGUGGCGAGUGGCGGACGGGUGAGGAAUACAUCGGAAUCUACUUUUUCGUGGGGGAUAACGUAGGGAAACUUACGCUAAUACCGCAUACGGCCUACGGGUGAAAGCAGGGGAUCUUCGGACCUUGCGCGAUUGAAUGAGCCGAUGUCGGAUUAGCUAGUUGGCGGGGUAAAGGCCCACCAAGGCGACGAUCCGUAGCUGGUCUGAGAGGAUGAUCAGCCACACUGGAACUGAGAAACGGUCCAGACUCCUACGGGAGGCAGCAGUGGGGAAUAUUGGACAAUGGGCGCAAGCCUGAUCCAGCCAUACCGCGUGGGUGAAGAAGGCCUUCGGGUUGUAAAGCCCUUUUGUUGGGAAAGAAAAGCAGCAGGUUAAUACCCCGCUGUUCUGACGGUACCCAAAGAAUAAGCACCGGCUAACUUCGUG
rnacentral:rRNA from 1 species